rnacentral:rRNA from 1 species
GACGAACGCUGGCGGCGCGCUUAACACAUGCAAGUCGAACGGAAAGGCCCUGCUUUUGUGGGGUGCUCGAGUGGCGAACGGGUGAGUAACACGUGAGUAACCUGCCCUUGACUUUGGGAUAACUUCAGGAAACUGGGGCUAAUACCGGAUAGGAGCUCCUGCUGCAUGGUGGGGGUUGGAAAGUUUCGGCGGUUGGGGAUGGACUCGCGGCUUAUCAGCUUGUUGGUGGGGUAGUGGCUUACCAAGGCUUUGACGGGUAGCCGGCCUGAGAGGGUGACCGGCCACAUUGGGACUGAGAUACGGCCCAGACUCCUACGGGAGGCAGCAGUGGGGAAUAUUGCACAAUGGGCGGAAGCCUGAUGCAGCAACGCCGCGUGCGGGAUGACGGCCUUCGGGUUGUAAACCGCUUUCGCCUGUGACGAAGCGUGAGUGACGGUAAUGGGUAAAGAAGCACCGGCUAACUACGUGCCAGCAGCCGCGGUGAUACGUAGGGUGCGAGCGUUGUCCGGAUUUAUUGGGCGUAAAGGGCUCGUAGGUGGUUGAUCGCGUCGGAAGUGUAAUCUUGGGGCUUAACCCUGAGCGUGCUUUCGAUACGGGUUGACUUGAGGAAGGUAGGGGAGAAUGGAAUUCCUGGUGGAGCGGUGGAAUGCGCAGAUAUCAGGAGGAACACCAGUGGCGAAGGCGGUUCUCUGGGCCUUUCCUGACGCUGAGGAGCGAAAGCGUGGGGAGCGAACAGGCUUAGAUACCCUGGUAGUCCACGCUGUAAACGGUGGGUACUAGGUGUGGGGUCCAUUCCACGGGUUCCGUGCCGUAGCUAACGCUUUAAGUACCCCGCCUGGGGAGUACGGCCGCAAGGCUAAAACUCAAAGGAAUUGACGGGGCCCCGCACAAGCGGCGGAGCAUGCGGAUUAAUUCGAUGCAACGCGUAGAACCUUACCUGGGUUUGACAUGGAUCGGGAGUGCUCAGAGAUGGGUGUGCCUCUUUUGGGGUCGGUUCACAGGUGGUGCAUGGCUGUCGUCAGCUCGUGUCGUGAGAUGUUGGGUUAAGUCCCGCAACGAGCGCAACCCUUGUUCACUGUUGCCAGCACGUUAUGGUGGGGACUCAGUGGAGACCGCCGGGGUCAACUCGGAGGAAGGUGGGGAUGGCGUCAAGUCAUCAUGCCCCUUAUGUCCAGGGCUUCACGCAUGCUACAAUGGCUGGUACAGAGAGUGGCGAGCCUGUGAGGGUGAGCGAAUCUCGGAAAGCCGGUCUCAGUUCGGAUUGGGGUCUGCAACUCGACCUCAUGAAGUCGGAGUCGCUAGUAAUCGCAGAUCAGCAACGCUGCGGUGAAUACGUUCCCGGGGCU